rnacentral:misc_RNA from 1 species
GAUGAAGAACGCAGCGAAAUGCGAUACGUAAUGUGAAUUGCAGAAUUCAGUGAAUCAUCGAAUCUUUGAACGCAUAUUGCGCUCUUUGGUAUUCCGAAGAGCAUGCUUGUUUGAGUAUCAGUAAACACCUCAAAGCUUUUGGAUUUUUUAAUCGAAAAGCUUUGGACUUGAGCAAUCCCAACACCAAUCUUUUUGAGAUCGGUGGCGGGUUGCUUGAAAUGCAGGUGCAGCUGGACAUUCUCCUGAGCUAAAAGCAUAUUCAUUUAGUCCCGUCAAACGGAUUAUUACUUUUGCUGCAGCUAACAUAAAGGGAGUUUGACCGUAUUGGCUGACUGAUGUAGGAUUUCACAAGGGUCGGCAACGAUUCUUGUUAAACUCGAUCUCAAAUCAAGUAAGACUACCCGCUGAACUUAAGCAUAUCAAUAAGCGGAGGA